GUGCCAGCAGCCGCGGUAAUACCAGCUCCUGGAGUGUCUAUGAUGAUUGCUGCAGUUAAAGAGUUCGUAGUCGGACUGCGUGACUGGCGUGAAAGACCCUUUUAUUCAUUCAAGGGGGGCGCACGCCGGAAAAGCAGGGAAUAAGGACGGCCGGGGCACAGGUUAUUAAGCGACGAGAGGUGAAAUUUGAUGACUCGCUUAGGAGCAACAGAGGCGAAAGCGCUGUGCAGGGGCGAUUCCGAUGAUAAAGGACGUAGGCUAGAGGAUCGAAGAUGAUUAGAGACCGUUGUAGUUCUAGCAGUAAACGAUGCCGAUGCCGUGGGGCAGUUCUUAGACUGCGCCGCGGAAGAGAAAUUGAGUAGGGCCCUGGGGAGAGUACACGCGCAGCAGGAAAUUUAAAGGAAAUUGACGGAAGAACACCACAAGGAGUGGAGUGUGCGGCUUAAUUUGACUCAACGCGGGACAGCUUCCAGGCCCGACGACCGCACGAGUGUGGUACACGAUAGGUCGGAGAGUGGUGCAUGGCCGUUAACGACAAGUGGGGUGACCUUUGGGUUAAGUCCGGGAAGUUGUGAGACCCCUGCUGGCGUAGCCAGGACAGGUGCUCAAAGCACAGGAAGGAAGGGUCAAGAACAGGUCAGUGAUGCCCUUAGAUGGUCUGGGCUGCACGCGCACUACAGUGGUCACACGAGUUUAUAGGUAGAAGAAAUGGUGAUCGAGAGGAAAUGAGCUUUGCAAGAGGCUCAGGAACGAGGAAUUGCUAGUAAUCGCGGGCUCAUUAAGACGCGAUGAAUACGUCCCUGUUCUUUGUACACACCGCCCGUCGUUAUCGAAGAUGGAGUCAGGCGCGAACAAGCGAGAGCGUGAGUGCAGGGUUCUAGAUGUGAUACAAGUCGUAACAAGGUAGCUGUAGGAGAACCUUUAGCUGG
rnacentral:rRNA from 1 species